rnacentral:lncRNA from 1 species
CCUUCCACACUUCGGUAUCAUUUGAGGGGACCACGCUCUUCACUCCCCUGCACUCCGUAUCAAUAAUUCCUGCUUCUGGCCAGGCGCGGUGGCUCACGCCUGUAAUCCCAGCACUUUGGGAGGCUGAGGUGGGCGGAUCACAAGGCAUGGCCCAUGUCCCUGGGAACAGUAGAGACUGAGGCCUGGGUCUCAGUGGCAUCAAUUAGAGCCUUUCCCUGGGACUGAUGUACGAGUGUCUCUUUCUGUUGGCAUCUUUAAAUGAGAAGAUAAAAAUCCAGGUUAUCAUUAGCCACAUUCACUGGUCAAGAAAAAGGCCUCUGCAGAACACAGCUGAGCAGAACCACACAGAAGUGGAAGAAGCAAAGAGGUUUCCAGAAGACUGAUGAAGAAGAGGUGCAACUUGGAAAAGAGAUCAGCAGCAAUCCAGCUGGAAAAUAGUGAUCAUCUGAGAGGAGAGUGGCCAUCUGGUUGAAUGAAGGGCAACAGGCGUGAAUAAAAUAAAAGAAGUAGGCUUGAUGGGUAACUGACCACCUGUGGGGAAUUAAGGAUGUUUAUCAGAGAGGAUGAAAUAUUGGGAUGGUUUUGUGGAGGGAGGGCAGUAGAGGGGUUCAAGCCAGGACAUUUGGGCAGAGAUGCCCUAUCUCUUGGCUUAUACUAGUGAGUUCACCUGGAUAAAACUUUUACUGUGAAGCGGUGACACUCUGCCCAUCCACCUUGUAAGUUCUUCUAUUAUAAGGCUGUAGAAAAAGACUCAAGUGGCUCUUUAAUUUGAUUCCUUGUGCAGGUUAGAUUUUUUUCCUAGAAUAACUUCAGUCUGCUAAUUUCACAUUAGUAUUACUUAAGGUCCUCAACAAUCAAAGAAAAGCUGCUUUCAGACUUCAAGUGCCCACAAGGCACUCCUUGGGAACAUGUACUACUAAUCCUGUGUGUUCCUUCUAAGCCGAACACUGACCUAUGAAGUCCCUCAAUCAAGUAUCUCUGCUCUUUUCCAUAGUGUCACUAUUACUGUCUUCACUUUUUUUCUUUCAUGUCACCCUUUCUCUCUCAGUUUACCUCUUUUCCCUGGGCAAAGAUGCUGCCAAAACUAUACAGCCAAACUGCCUCCCUAAUCAAGACUGGGAAUAAUAAUAGACCACUGCUCCAAUGGAGCAUCUCUUUCUUUUCAGGGCUGCAUGACACUUUGCACGGAGCUUCCUACCUCCAAGUGACAUUCUUACCUGCAGCUGAGUAAAUGAGUCCGCCUCCCAUACAGUUGUUUUAUAGGAUUUGCUAGGGAUUAAUUCUUUCUUUUCAGCUGUACCUUGUCAGAGACCACAAAUGAACAAAGAGGAACAUCAAGAAAUAGGAGAUAGGCUGCGUUUGGCUUUGUCUGGCAUUCACUCCUAUUCACCCGGCCAAGUUUCUUGAUGCUGUUGUGACGAGGCAUUGUUGUGGGUGGAAAGCUUGGAGCUAUAAUGCACGUGGCUGCCACACAGCUGGCGCUGUCGGCUUGAAGCUGGAAUGGAGUGAACCCGCCUGUUAAUUUGUACAUGAACACACACUAAUCUCUCAUUCACACCCUGGGUGGCUGGUUUGUUCUGCACACAGAUGAAUCUAAAAAGCUUUGGCCCUCUGGCAUUCCACAGAUGAGAUUCUCAUUAGGAACGGCAGUUCCCUCUCUGACCCAAUGGAAGAAGUAUCAUGGGCUCCAAUCCCAGCUUCUCAUUCUCUCCCUAUUUAAUACUACUAAUAAUAUUUAGCAUAUUUGAGUCCUUCCUACUACUACCAGAUCCAUGUAAAGAGCUUUACAGACAAUCGCCCACUCAGUCCCUACAAACAUCUGCUGGGGAGUCACUGCCUAACAGUGGGUGUGUUCCCCAUUUCUAAAAUUUCCCCAGACCAGUUGCCAUCUUCCUUCCUGGACACAAUAAUUGCUGCUCUAAUUUCCCUGCUCUCUAACCCUAUCUUUAGAUCCAUAUAUCAGUUCCUGCAUCCUCAGGGACCCCUGUCUUAAUGCUUUCUUCUUUAGCUCCAUCCCAGCACACUCUACCUAAUAUAGUUCCAUGGUCCACAGUUCCAUGGUCCAUGACCAUGGACAUUAUGGUGGCAAGAAUUUAUCCACCAACCAGGUCACCUCUAGUUUACAAUAAUAAUAAAAUUUAAAUGUAAUUUUAUACUUACCUCCAAACUCAUCCUUAUAUACAUUAAAUAUAUAUAUAGCCUACUGUAUGCCAACCAUACCUUAAUAAAGUAGUUUUAAAUAUAAAUUUAAUUCAACUUAUGUUAUUUUGAUUAUGAACAAAUUAAAUUGAAUUAAGUUUAAGUUUAAUUAUAAUUAAUGUAGUAUAAAAUAGAAAUAUGAUUUUUAAUAUAUUAAAUGUAAUUAUAAUUUUCACUCGUGUCCAUGUGAAGAGACCACCAAACAGGC